CCGGAGCUUGCUCCACCGGAAAAAGAAGAGUGGCGAACGGGUGAGUAACACGUGGGUAACCUGCCCAUCAGAAGGGGAUAACACUUGGAAACAGGUGCUAAUACCGUAUAACAAUCAAAACCGCAUGGUUUUGAUUUGAAAGGCGCUUUCGGGUGUCGCUGAUGGAUGGACCCGCGGUGCAUUAGCUAGUUGGUGAGGUAACGGCUCACCAAGGCCACGAUGCAUAGCCGACCUGAGAGGGUGAUCGGCCACAUUGGGACUGAGACACGGCCCAAACUCCUACGGGAGGCAGCAGUAGGGAAUCUUCGGCAAUGGACGAAAGUCUGACCGAGCAACGCCGCGUGAGUGAAGAAGGUUUUCGGAUCGUAAAACUCUGUUGUUAGAGAAGAACAAGGAUGAGAGUAACUGUUCAUCCCUUGACGGUAUCUAACCAGAAAGCCACGGCUAACUACGUGCCAGCAGCCGCGGUAAUACGUAGGUGGCAAGCGUUGUCCGGAUUUAUUGGGCGUAAAGCGAGCGCAGGCGGUUUCUUAAGUCUGAUGUGAAAGCCCCCGGCUCAACCGGGGAGGGUCAUUGGAAACUGGGAGACUUGAGUGCAGAAGAGGAGAGUGGAAUUCCAUGUGUAGCGGUGAAAUGCGUAGAUAUAUGGAGGAACACCAGUGGCGAAGGCGGCUCUCUGGUCUGUAACUGACGCUGAGGCUCGAAAGCGUGGGGAGCAAACAGGAUUAGAUACCCUGGUAGUCCACGCCGUA
rnacentral:rRNA from 1 species